AUGAGCGAGCGACAGCAGCUCCCCAAUGACCUCUCAAGAAGGGAAGCGGUGCCCAAAGGCGUUGCCGUCAUCAUUGCCGACAAGGUCGGCACAAGGCUUUCGCCUGAAGCAUCCCCAUCCCGGUCAUCUCCGCAAAUGCCAGCGCUUGAUUCCAGCAGCACAAGACCACCCUACCCUCCCACCGUCCACAUCGAGCGUCCCCGCCAGGUCGAGCAAGAAGCUCCGACGACACAGCCGCUCACCUCGAGCAUCCGCACAAAAGGAGUUAGAGCAAGCUUGGCUGCCACCAGCACCCAAACUUGCACUACCAGCCACACAUCUCCACCACCGCCACAUCAAACCCCGCCGGCUGCAUCCACCACCGACCUCCCGGCCGUGGCCACGGAAAGCCACUGCCCGAGUGAGCUGUUGCCAUGGGAAAUACCAAAUCUGGAUGCCAUGAAGCCUCCCAGACCAAGCACAAAGCUCACUGAGGGAGUCCUGGACUAG
rnacentral:rRNA from 1 species